rnacentral:rRNA from 1 species
UGGCGGGGGCUAUACAUGCAAGUCGACGCUUUGUGGUUCAACUGAUUUGAAGAGCUUGCUCAGAUAUGACGAUGGACAUUGCAAAGAGUGGCGAACGGGUGAGUAACACGUGGGAAACCUACCUCUUAGCAGGGGAUAACAUUUGGAAACAGAUGCUAAUACCGUAUAACAAUAGCAACCGCAUGGUUGCUACUUAAAAGAUGGUUCUGCUAUCACUAAGAGAUGGUCCCGCGGUGCAUUAGUUAGUUGGUGAGGUAAUGGCUCACCAAGACGAUGAUGCAUAGCCGAGUUGAGAGACUGAUCGGCCACAAUGGGACUGAGACACGGCCCAUACUCCUACGGGAGGCAGCAGUAGGGAAUCUUCCACAAUGGGCGAAAGCCUGAUGGAGCAACGCCGCGUGUGUGAUGAAGGGUUUCGGCUCGUAAAACACUGUUGUAAGAGAAGAAUGACAUUGAGAGUAACUGUUCAAUGUGUGACGGUAUCUUACCAGAAAGGAACGGCUAAAUACGUGCCAGCAGCCGCGGUAAUACGUAUGUUCCAAGCGUUAUCCGGAUUUAUUGGGCGUAAAGCGAGCGCAGACGGUUAUUUAAGUCUGAAGUGAAAGCCCUCAGCUCAACUGAGGAAUUGCUUUGGAAACUGGAUGACUUGAGUGCAGUAGAGGAAAGUGGAACUCCAUGUGUAGCGGUGAAAUGCGUAGAUAUAUGGAAGAACACCAGUGGCGAAGGCGGCUUUCUGGACUGUAACUGACGUUGAGGCUCGAAAGUGUGGGUAGCAAACAGGAUUAGAUACCCUGGUAGUCCACACCGUAAACGAUGAGUGCUAGGUGUUUGAGGGU